UACGUGAGGGUGCAAGCGUUGUCCGGAAUUAUUGGGCGUAAAGAGCUCGUAGGCGGCUUGUCACGUCGACUGUGAAAACCCGGGGCUCAACUCCGGGCCUGCAGUCGAUACGGGCUGGCUUGAGUGCGGUAGGGGAGACUGGAAUUCCUGGUGUAGCGGUGAAAUGCGCAGAUAUCAGGAGGAACACCGGUGGCGAAGGCGGGUCUCUGGGCAUUAACUGACGCUGAGGAGCGAAAGCAUGGGGAGCGAACAGG
rnacentral:rRNA from 1 species